rnacentral:lncRNA from 1 species
ACUUUGGUUUGAAACAAGUCGGUCCAUUAGGUUUGUCGAAGGGCGAAACACUGGACGAUGUGAUCAGACGCCGACUAACAGAACGCUUACGUCAAACCACGUUAGCCGAUCACAUGAAGAAACAAGAGAGGGAGUUACUUGAUCAAUAUGCAGGCAGAUUCUUCUUUACAAGUGGUGUUGCUUUCAAUGUCGCUCAUAAUCCUGAACUAUUGGUAAUAUUUCAGAUUUUAUUUUUUUAAUAAAAUUUGGAAUUACUUAUUUAAAUUUAUUUUCAGGCAUAGGUGGAGAGUAUUGGACGGUACGGUCCAGGAUACACA